rnacentral:rRNA from 1 species
UACGGAGGAGGCAAGCGUUAUCCGGAAUUAUUGGGCGUAAAGCGUCCGCAGGUGGCACUUCAAGUCUGCUGUCAAAGACCGGGCUUAACCCCAGAAAGGCAGUGGAAACUGAAGUGCUAGAGUGCAGUAGGGGUGAGACGGGAUUCCGGUGUAGCGGUGAAAUGCGUAGAGAUCGGGAAGAACAUCGGUGGCGAAAGCGCUCUGCUGGACUGCAACUGACACUCAGGGACGAAAGCUAGGGGAGCGAAUGGG